GAUGAACGCUGGCGGCGUGCUUAACACAUGCAAGUCGAACGAUGAACCGGGUGCUUGCACUCGGGGAUUAGUGGCGAACGGGUGAGUAACACGUGAGCAACCUGCCCCUGACUCCGGGAUAAGCGCUGGAAACGGCGUCUAAUACUGGAUAUGUCCCGUCACCGCAUGGUGUGCGGGUGGAAAGAUUUUUCGGUUGGGGAUGGGCUCGCGGCCUAUCAGCUUGUUGGUGAGGUAAUGGCUCACCAAGGCGUCGACGGGUAGCCGGCCUGAGAGGGGGGCCGGCCACACGGGGACGGAGACACGGCCCAGACGCCUACGGGAGGAAGCAGUGGGGAAUAUUGCACAAUGGGCGCAAGCCCGAUGCAGCAACGCCGCGUGAGGGAUGACGGCCUUCGGGUUGUAAACCUCUUUUAGCAGGGAAGAAGCGAAAGUGACGGUACCUGCAGAAAAAGCACCGGCUAACUACGUGCCAGCCGCCGCCGUAA
rnacentral:rRNA from 1 species